rnacentral:rRNA from 1 species
GACGAACGCUGGCGGCGUGCUUAACACAUGCAAGUCGAACGGAAAGGCCAUGCUUUUGUGGGGUGCUCGAGUGGCGAACGGGUGAGUAACACGUGAGUAACCUGCCCUUGACUUUGGGAUAACUUCAGGAAACUGGGGCUAAUACCGGAUAGGAGCUCCUGCUGCAUGGUGGGGGUUGGAAAGUUUCGGCGGUUGGGGAUGGACUCGCGGCUUAUCAGCUUGUUGGUUGGGUAGUGGCUUACCAAGGCUUUGACGGGUAGCCGGCCUGAGAGGGUGACCGGCCACAUUGGGACUGAGAUACGGCCCAGACUCCUACGGGAGGCAGCAGUGGGGAAUAUUGCACAAUGGGCGGAAGCCUGAUGCAGCAACGCCGCGUGCGGGAUGACGGCCUUCGGGUUGUAAACCGCUUUCGCCUGUGACGAAGCGUGAGUGACGGUAAUGGGUAAAGAAGCACCGGCUAACUACGUG